rnacentral:lncRNA from 1 species
GACCAGAGCCAGCGCAAGCUCUUCAUCCGCGGCCUCGGCAUGGAGACCACCACUGACGCCGUUCGCUCCCUCUUCUCUACGUACGGCGAGAUUGAGGAGGCCGCUGUUAUUGUUGACAGGGCCACCGGGAAGAGCAAGGGUUACGGGUUCAUCACCUUCCGCCAUAUCGACGGUGCCCUCCGUGCCCUAAAAGAGCCAUCCAAGAAGAUCGAUGGCCGGAUGACGGUCACCCAGCUUGCUGCUGCCGGUAACUCCGGGUCCGGCGCUGCUCCGUCCGCCGAUGUCUCUCUCCGCAAGAUCUAUGUGGCGAACGUCCCCGCUGACAUGCCAUCUGACCGACUCCUUGCCCAUUUCUCCUCUUACGGUGAGAUCGAGGAGGGCCCUCUUGGGUUCGACAAGCAGACGGGGAAAUUCCGGGGCUUCGCCCUCUUCGUCUACAUGACAGUGGAGGGGGCAAAAAAUUCCCUCGUGGAUCCCAACAAGAACAUCGAUGGGCAUAACUUGGUCUGCAAGCUUGCAAUAGAGGGUAAGAAGGGGAAGCCAGGUGCCCCUGCACCAGGUGCUGCCCCCAUGGGCGGUGUCCCCGGCCAGCCCAUGGGUGGUGGUGCCGAUAUGGGUCCAGAUGGGCUUGGAUUGGGUGCACAGUCCUCAUUACCAAGUUCUCUCUCUAGCCAGUAUGGUGGUCCAGGUAGCGGUCUCGGUUCAUAUGGUGGUUACUCUGGAAGUGCGCUGCCGGGUGCUGCUGGACUGAGUCACCAUCAUAAUAUGAACUCUUCCUUGCCAUCAUCCAUGGGUCCUGGCACUCCAGGUCUGUCAUCGGUUGGCAGUCAGGUGCCUUCAUCGCUUGGUGGUGCUGUAGCUGGAGGAUAUGGAGGGGGUUUGGGUGGCCCUCUUGGGUCUUCUCAGUAUGGUGGCCCUGGCUCCGGUGGAUACGGAGGUUAUGGCAUGGGCUCAUCACUUUAUCGUAUGCCUCCAAGCUCAGUUGGGAUGCCUUCAGGUGGUUAUCCGGAGGGUGGACAUUAUCCUCUGUCAUCAUCAGCAUACCAGGGCCAGCAUCACCAGCCAGCAGGAUCCUCUCCUGGGCAGAGGGUUCCAGGUGGAGGGUUAUAUCCUAAUGUGCCACCUUAUUACUAAGGUAAUAUAUUUGCUUCAAAAAUGGCCUUUGUGUUUUCCUGUUUUAGAUUUCAGUUUAUGUUUUAUCAGCUUUUGUUAUUUUUCUUGGCAUUAUUUCCUUUGAUAUUUACCAUUGCUGUUAUUAGCGUUAGGUCAUGGUUUCUUAGUGUGUGGUCUCUAUAUCCUAUAAAGUCGAAUAUGUUGUAUUUAGAUAUAUUGGUCAAUAUUAUUAUGCUAACAGGUCAUUAUGGUCCACUAUGGUCAAUAUUAGAGCAUCUUUAAUGGCCCUUUAGAAUGGGUUUGUAAAUUACAGGCUCAAAUGAUCGAUCACUAAGUUCAUAAUAUCAAUAUGCUUAGGUCACCAAAGAAUCCGGCAAUGGAAUGUUUGGAGGUAUCUGUGUUGAUGCAAAACUGGUUGAGGAUUUUGGACUGCUUCUAGUUGGAGAUAGUUUAUGAUUAGUCUCACUUAAAUUUUAAAGGACUGUAGACUAAAUUUCAGUUGGAAGGCUGUGUUAUCCCUUAUUUGUGAUGAAAUGAACGACAGACUUUUGAUAAUUUAGACUUGAACAUCUUGGGUCAUACUGUUACUGUUUUUUCUACACAAUUUAUUUUAUGAGUAGGUGACUACAGUUAUAUGUCGGAUGCGUGAUUAUUUGCCAUUGUCCCUUUAAUGGUUAUGUGAUAUUGUUCGAUCACAGGUUUGGUCUGAUUGAAUCAUGGCUUAUAUUAUUUUUUGUUCCAUUUCUUGAUUUUUGUGUCAAAAAGUUUGUCUUAUUUUGCUAAGAUAAUUAAACCAUAGAUUCUGUUAAGCAUUCUGUAUGGUCCCAGGAAGUAACAUUCUUUUGCUGGUUUUUAUUUCAUUUAAUGUUGAUAACAUCUUCGGUAAUAUGCCUGUGGUUUUUGAUAUAUUGUUAGAAACUAGGUUCUUUUUCAACAUGAAGAUUCUUCAUGAUUUCAUACAUCUUUUAACAAAUAUAAUUAGUAAACUUCUAUCACUUACGGAAAAUUUAUCAGUGUCAAUGGUUUGUUAGUUGUUUUUGGCUUAAGAGCAUUGUAGUAGGGAUUCGAUGGGUUCUGCUUGUUCUGACUUAGCUUUUAAUCUUGAUUUUUUUGUAAUUUCUUUGUUGAUCAAUGUAUUCUCCUGUUAUAAAAGUAAAUAUUGUCUUGUCCAUCAAGUGAGAUAUUAGUCUAAAUUUAAUUGUGUUAAUUGUGAUCCUUUGGUAUUUGUUGGCCUCAUAUAACUUUAUCCUUUUGUUUUUAUGUUCAUGUGCUGGUUAUCUUUUUCUCUGUGUUGUCGCUGUCACCUGCAUUUCUUAUUUUCCAUUUAAUUUUCCAUAUUUGUUGGUCUAUGUGGACAUCUUCCUUUCUACCUACUGAAUUUAAUUUAUUUCUAGUUGUUGAAAAACACUUUCUUGCUUGUGUGCUUGAGUAUGUUGGUCAUAUAGCUUUCUUGUUUUCGUAGUUAAUGAAAUUAUGUAGAUUGCAGUGAAUCUUGCUGUUGAUUCUUGACAGUUCUGUCUUGUUGCUUCUGGCUUUCUUUGUGGUUAUGUUGCUCACAUAUAUUGUAAUAGCAAGGCUGAUUUUGCUUGCUUAUUAAGUUUUUUGUUGUUGCAGAAAAGGUAAAAUUUGAUACUCUUUCUUUAUUGGAGUUGGAAGCCAUAGUUGCCUAAAACUUUGCUGCAUGGCAGGCUUUUAUGUUCUUUGUGCUGCAAAAAUUUCUACGUCUAUUACAACUUUAUAUGGGGAUUGUGAAUUUCAAUAUAGAAUGUUGUCUGACUAGUUUGACUAUGGUGCAAUGGAUCACAGGUCUAUGAAUCAUCAAAUACUAAAUAGUUCUUUGUUAUUUAUAGUUUAUCUUUGCACAUAUUUGUUGCAUUACAUGGAAUAAUCAUAUUGUUUUUGUUCUUGAUGAUUCAUAUAUUUUGCAUUUGCAUCUAUGCAGCUCUAUUUAUUGUUGUUUUAUUUCCAGAAAGUGGUUUAGAAUAGGUGUACUUUACAAAGUAAAUGCCUUUGUAUGAAAAAUAAAGAUUGUUUGUAGUGUUGAAAUGAACAUAUAAGUAUAUUUAAUAUUUGGAUAUACAAACUGAAAUUUUGGCUAUUUUAAAUUAUUUUCGUAAUGUUUUAUGCAUUCUAUCUAUUGACAAUGCUAAUUGUUGUCAUUUUAUCAUUUAUGUCCACAAGUGAAUCAUAUCAAAAUUCUAUAAAAGGUGUUUGUUUUUCUUCAGAUUUUCUAGUUUUUUUCUGUUUACAUGAUAAUCAUCCAUCAAUCUUUUGUCCUUGGGUAUUUUUGGGAAGUUUUAAUACCUUAGCUUUUACAACAUAAAAUCUUGGCUUAAUAAAAGUAUAGCUUAAACGAGUUUAUAGACUGCAGUAUACAUUCUUAUAAGAUGUGCUUCAUCCAAACUAAAAAUAGUGCUGUGCUUGUUCUGUUGUGCAUGUUUCCAUUGUAUGUAACAUGAUAAUGUUCUAUGCUGCGCCUUGUUCAUGUGAUUUCAUUGAUUGAGUAGGUACUAGAGGUGAUUAAAUUGUCAACUGUUAGUAAACAGCUUAGUUUAUCACUGUUAUCAUAUAGAUUUUGUUACCUUAGGCUGUAUGUGAUUUUCUUGUUUGGCUUUGUUCAUUUGUAGACUUUGACGAUUGGUUUCCAAAUGCGCAUGUCUUGAACUCUUGUGGUUUAUGUUGCUCUCUUGAUUGCAUUAUGCAUUAUUUAAUAUCUUCAGAGUACUUGUGCAAUAGCAUUUUGUAUUUUAAUUAAGUUGGCAGGGUAUCAUGUUGUUCUCGUGUUAGAAAUUUAUUUACACCUGUUAUAAUUUGUGUUAUGGCCUUUUGUAUGAUCCCCAAAAGUUGAGAAAUCUUGAGAGAAUGGUGUUUUCUGCAUUUAUAAAUUGGGUUGAACGUUUUGGUGUUUGUUAUUGUGCAUAUGUAACAUUCUUGUGUGGUCGCUGGCAUAUGGAUGUGCCAAGUCUUGGUCAAGAACAUCAGUUUUGUCCUGAGUUUUUGGUUUGUUUCUUUGUGGCUAUGCAAGCUCAUGUAGUGUUUGAAUAUCACAAGGUGUGUUUUGAAAAUGUGGAUAAAUAUGUAUAUAUAUUUUCCUUAUGUGUGGCUUACGAAGCCAUUAUUGGUUUGGAUGUUGUUGUUUAAUGUUCAGAUAAUUGAUACAUUAAGAUGUGAUAGUAUUUGUUUAAGUCUUUUAGUUAGCAUGGGUUCAUAUUAUGUCUAUUUUUUCCAUAAAUAUUAAUUUUAAAGCUGCUAAAUUGCAUUACUUUGUUGCAUAACUCUUAUUACUAUUGCGAGUUCUGUAGCCUGACUCUGAUAUGACUGAUAAUUCGUAUCCAUGAUGUCUGUCUUUGUAUUAUUGUUUGAUGGUAAUUGUGUGAUUCAGGUAUAUGGCAACUUUGGAGGAAAUGCUUUGAAUGGUAGUGCUGAAUUCAGGUUGUUAUCUGUUUUGAUGAAUGGCUUGCAAACUUUUGUGGCUACUUCUCUGCUUCUCUGCUCUGGAAUGUAGCUGUUGAGAUAUAGUUGCUCUACCCUAGGUUUUUAUUGCUUUAGAAGCUCCAUGAACUUUAGAGUGGUAUAAUUGUCUCUGUAUGUAAUACUUUCCUGGAUGGGACUUGUCUCUUAUCUUUGCUUGAAUUGUUAAAUUACUAUCCUACUGAACACACUUGCCUUUUUGGCUUGCUUUUUUAUUGUGGCUAUGCAACCUCAUUGUCGCAUGACUUGCAUUCAUCAUUUGAUUGGCUGUGUUAAAAUUCCUUGAUUCCCUGUGUUUGAUUCAAUGUGUAAUGCAUUUCUUUUGAUUAAUUCUUGUUCUUGUACUCAUAGUGGGUUCUCUUCACUGUUUGAAUGUAUCGUCCUGCUCAGGCAUUGACUUCUGAUUCUGAAUUGGUGGAUUGUGCCUCAAGUUUGAAGUGUCAUUCACACAGUGUGUGGUUGCAAAAUAGCUGUCUAAAGCGUCAUUUCUCAUGAUCAUGCCUAUGUAAGCUGCCAUGCUAAUUCUUCUUAGUGAUAGAAGAUUUUGUGGAAUCAUCUUCUGUUUGCUAGAUGUGUGGUCAUCCUUCUGUCAGUUCCCUUCCUGUUAGUGAUGUUAGAACUCUAAUUGUUGACCUGUUAAAAUAUAGCCUUUUGAUAAGAAACACAUGAGCCAUGCAAUCUGCAUCUGCCAAGAGUUGAUUUAAUUUUAUAUAAACGAUAACUUUUUAGCCAUCUCCAUCUCUGUGCGCUUCUAUUUAAAUUCUGUCUCAGGUUGUUGAUGAGUUUGAUUUGUGGCUCAAUAAAUAUUUACUAAAAGCAAAGUAUCUCAUGUUGUCCCAACAAGUUGAUUGGAACAUAUAUGAUUCUUUAAUAUCUUGUGCCUUUCUUUUAUAUUAAUCUUGGUUUUGGAAUUAAUGACAAUAUAUGUGCUUGGAAAAUUUGGAAACUAGGUUGCGAGUGCAAUGUUUUUUUUUCAGUGUUCAAACAAAGCUAGCUGUGCCUGAUGGGGUCUGUACUUUGUUUUGCUGGAACUUACCUUCAAGAGAUAGAUAAGUUGUAUUUAGGUUGUUUUCUCAGAUCUCGCUUCUGCUAGAAGUGAAGCCUUAAUGUUUUAUGAACGGUUCUGAAUUGUUCAUCAAAAAAAUCAACAGUCAUGAUAUAAAAUCAUGAAUAUAGUGUGAGAGAAGAAGCGAGAUGUUGAUCUUUUUUUGUCUAGAUAGAAUUACGGACUGUUUUUGUCGUCUGAUUUUAUAAGUCUUUGCUGAAACUAAUAAUGUUGUAGAUGAAUACAAUUGUUAGUAUAAUAAUGUGAUUGAUGUUCUCUUUGGAAAACCGAAGCUGUCGAAGUUUACUGUGGCAUCUUUCUUUCUUAAAGUGCUGAUUAAUUGUGAUACUUUUUAGUCUUUUUUUAUAAGCUAAAUUCUUAUCCUGCUUGCUUUUCCUAAGCGCCGUAGUUCACAUUCAUUUGGGUCCCCCCCUUUGGGCAAGCUUAGUUUGUUGGAUGACGUUUGCAUAUGCCUCCUGAUUUCGUUGCUAGCCCCAUCGAUAAAAUAUGUACCAAAUGGGUGAAGUGUGGCCACCUCCUCUGCCAACACCUCCUAUGUUGCCAAUGUUGGGGUGUCGAAGGUGGCAGAGGGAGGGAUUCGUGUGUGGAGUGCAUGUGGCACUUUCCAUUGUCUUAUCAAUCUCCAACGUGUAUGACGUAUUGAUGAGAUUGAGAAUCGCAUUAUGCAUCUUUUCAUCGAGUCCUAUUCUCCUUUUUAUCUCGCACGUCGUCGACCUUGUGCGCCACUGUCAUUAUCGGUGAUCUAUCCUCCAUAGGGGAGGAAAACAUAUUUUUUUAUAAAAGUAUAUUUUUAUCUUUUUUUAUUCAUGAUAAAAGCAACAAUAAAUGUUUCCUAUAUUUGAAUCAUAAUAUUACUUUUAAAAGUAUGGAGAUUGAGAUGUUAAUCUAAAGUAAUAUCAAGGGUACUAUGUAAUUACAAGUUCAGAGAAAAAUAUUUUUAUUCUCGUUCCAACCAUUAAAAUUUUCCUCUAACGUAUCAUAGUGCUAAUUACAUAUAAUUAGUCCUGUUUAGUAUUUUGAUUCUAACAUUUUCUUUAUACUUAGUGCUACUUACAAAAUAAAUCAUUUAAAUCCUUAUAUAUGAUUAAAACGAUAAUUUUAUUAUAUUAAAAUUUUAAAAAUAAUGUAUUAAAUCUUUUUAUUUUCAUAAAUAUAAAGAUCAUAAACAAACUUUUUAAAAUAUAAUGAGAUAUUAAAGAUAUCUAAUUAUAAACGGUUAUAUAUAAUUAGCUUUAUAUCAAACAAAACAUCAUAUUUCAAUUUAUGUUGUCCUUUCACAGCGUUAGAUGAAAUAUUUUAUUAUUUAGCAAAAUGUAACCAAAAAAAUGAUAAGAGAAUAUAAUAAAGUUUUUUUGGAUUCAUGAAAUUGGGUAAAUUUAAAAACAAAGAAUCUGUAUAUGGUAAUACCUUGUUUGUAAAGAAAUAAAACCAUGAAAUUAAUAUUUGAUUAUUUUACAAAUACCUUAAAGGUUUUGAUGAAGGUUGAUGUAGAGAAAAAAUAUAUAUUUUUAUAUAUGAUUGUUCUCCAAGUUUCAUUUGAUCUAUGAAUUUUUGAAUAAUGGUAUCUUCUCGGAGAUAAUGAAUAUGACAAGGUAAACGAUUACAUGCAUUUUAUUUUACAUCGAUAGUUGGGAAAACAUGAGUUAGCAAAAAUAUCUGAUAAACAUGUGAAUUUAAAAUAAAUUAAGAAUUAUUGUUCAUGUUGUUGAAUUGAAUUGAAGAAAAAUAAAAAAAAGAUUAAUUACGUAUUAUUCUUUAUAAUUAGUUAUAUUUAAUAUUUUGAUCUUUAUAUUUUUAAGUAUUAUAUUUAUAUUUUUAUAUUUAUAAAAAUAAAAUAUUUAAACUUAUUUCUUCUCGUGUCAUUGACAACAGAAAUAUUAUGUGUUUCGUUGUAAAUCUAAAUAAGACAAAGUCAACACGUGCUCAUAUUAUCUGUUUCAUUGUAAAUCUAAAUGAGAUAAAGUCAACACGAUCAGUACUAAAUCCUAUGAUAUUUUAGUACUAAACCCUACGAUAUUAGAUUGAUAAAGUUAAUGUUACGAGGAAAAAAGAGAUUAAAUAUUUAAUUUUUAUAAGUAUAAAAUUUUAAUAUAAUUUUUAAAAAUAUAAAAAUAUAUUAAAGAUAGUUAAUUAUAAGGGAUAAUAUAUAAUUAGUUUAAAAAAUUUAUGAAAAUAUGUAAACAAUCAAAAUUUAUUUUUUUAUUCAUUUAAUGAACGAGAGAGUUUUAUUUUUAUUAUUGGGCUCCCUUCGUUGAAGUCCCAAUACGGCCCGCAUCACGCGGCCUCUCCACGCUUAGUAUAAAUAGGCGGAUGCUCGAUCCACAGCCAUAUCCGUCGCUCCCGCUUCCUUCACUUUUUGUCGGGUUAGGGCGCCGUCCGACCCCGCCGCGAGAUCGAUUGAUUGAUGGAUCCGUCCUACAAGAAGCGGAAGGCGGACGAGAACGGCGCCCUCGCCACCGCCAUCCCGGCGGCCGAAUUGACGCCGGAGGAUGGCCGUAAAAUCAUUGACGCCUUCUCCCUCGACCAGCUCCGCGACAUCGUCGCCGCCGCCGUGUCCCGCGGCGAGCCUGGCGUCCUCGCCGACGUCCGCGCUAUCGCCGACCGCGACCAGAGCCAGCGCAAGCUCUUCAUCCGCGGCCUCGGCAUGGAGACCACCACUGACGCCGUUCGCUCCCUCUUCUCUACGUACGGCGAGAUUGAGGAGGCCGCUGUUAUUGUUGACAGGGCCACCGGGAAGAGCAAGGGUUACGGUUUCAUCACCUUCCGCCAUAUCGACGGUGCCCUCCGUGCCCUAAAAGAGCCAUCCAAGAAGAUCGAUGGCCGGAUGACGGUCACCCAGCUUGCUGCCGCCGGUAACUCCGGGUCCGGCGCUGCUCCGUCUGCCGAUGUCUCUCUCCGCAAGAUCUAUG